ACUCAGCCAAUUCUCAUCUUCUAACGUGAUCUCUGAGGACUCCACCAACACAUCUUAUCUCCCCAUCUCUGUAGGUAGCCCCCGUGUCUUCAGAAACCUCUCCGUGUUGAGGUUUUCUCUGGCAUGUGAGAGUCAUCAGGAGCCUGCCCCAAAUGAUAAAGAUACCCUCAAGCUUGGAAUGAACACCAAGUACUUUGUGGAGUCUUUUCAAUGCCUAAUCCCAGAAGAAGAAGAAGCAAGCAACCAAACAAAAGUCAUAAUCCUCGUUGGAAUCAAAUGACGGACUUCACCGUCUUUCAAGUGUCUCCAGGCUGGUGUCCAAAGGAGCUAGUGUGACACAGACUGACACUCUGGGUCUGAAGUGUGGCGCUGUUAUGCCAGGGCAGGCUCUUUGCCAGGGACCAUGUCCCCAGCCUUCCUUGCAUCUAAGUGAGAGAACAGACUGAGCUUCACCAAUGAGACAGCACUUGAACCAGUAUGUCUCACUGAUCACCCGUUCUCUGCUCUACAGAGAGUAUUGAGGACCCUGCAGUCCUAGCAGAGGGACAGAGCCCAGAUAGAGUGCCAGCAGAGGGGACUGUGAAAAAGAUUCUCGGUGGAAAGGAAGGAAGGAAGGAAGAAGGAAGGAAGGAAGGAAGGAAGGAAGGAAGGAAGGAAGGAAGAAAGAAAGAAAGAAAGAAAGAAAGAAAGAAAGAAAGAAAGAAAGAAAGAAAGAAAGAAGGAAGGAAGGAAAAUGGCUGCUGCUAUAGGCUUUCUAGGUGCUCCCUACUCAAUUGUGUAUACAGACUGCACGGCUACAUAUAUUCCAAAAUACCAACAAGCACAGUAUUUCAACUGAAAAUUAGUAUUUUCUCUAAAGGGGCAGAAAAAAAAAAAAAAAAAAAAAAAACUAGAUCGUGGCAGACUGCCUAGGAAUGCCUAUGUUUAACUGUGCCUUUGUUAUAAUGACGAUAGUGUCCCCAAGGUUCUUGGGCUGCAUGCUUACUUCCCUGCUGCCAACGUCAUUAUGGGAUGUGAUGGGAACUUUAGGAGGUGUGGGGGAAGUACGUCACUGUGGGUGUUCACUCCCCCCUCCGCCUUUUCUGGUCAAUUUAUGCAAGCUAAGGUCAUAUAUCUGGGAAGAGGAAACCUUAGCCAAGAAAAAUGCCUCCGUAGGAUUGGCCUGUAGGCGAGUCUGUAGGGCGUGUUCUUGAGCCGUAAUUGAUGUGCGAGGACCCAGAUCACUGUAAGUGGAGCCACCCUGGGCAGGGGGUUCUGGUGAGCAAGCCAGUGAGUAGAACUUCUCCAUGGUCUCUGCGUCAGUCCCUGCCCCCAGGUUUUCUAUCUUGGGUUCCUGCUUUGGCUUCCUUCAGUGAUGGACUGUGACAGAGAUGGGUAAGCCAAAAAACAAAACAAAACACACUGACAAACAAAACUCCUACUCCACCAAGUUGCUUUUGGGUCAUGGUGUUUUUUCCCAGCAGUAGAAACCACAUGAAGACCCCUGCUUCCUGUAUGCAGGAGCUGAGUGGCCUCUGCCUUAUGCUCUGGCCAGCAGGUGUUUGGCUGGCUCAGACUCAAGGGGUCAAGGACUAUGGGCGAAAGCAUCUGAAUCCAGGAACCAGAGUAAAGUCCUUUUCCCUUAACUUGCUUGUCCUGGACAUUGUACCACAACCAUGAAAAGGUUAACACAGAAAUGCAUAAAUGGAAAAUAAAUUCUUCACAGGGGUGCCGAUUUGAAGUGUUUGAACACAGGACUUCGAUCACUCCAAUUCACGCCAAGGCCACCAGAUGGACUCACUUAGAGACCCGAGAGUGGACUCAGGGACGAGGAGCGCCUAGAGGUCACUGGCACAAAGAAGCUCAGAGGACACUGGUAUAGCAAACAGGGGAAGCUACGAGCGAGUGAAGACCAGAGUGAGCGUGUAUUUUGACAUGGGCAUGGACUGUUAAGGACUCCAAGACCAACUGACCCUUGGGAAACUGGCACAGCAGCUACACAUACGGACCACACUCAAAAGGAAAGGGCAAAGCUUCCCUUGGGACCCUGAGUGUUUAUGCGUGGCUGAUCAGUGGGUGCAAAGCCUAGCAACUGCGACUUCCUCUUCCACAUGUUCAUAUCAAAAGACUAUUUGCCUACAAAGACUUCCUGCAGAGACUAGCCAACCUGGCCCCUGCGCUGUAUCCAUCACAGUGGUAGCGUUAGAGAAACCCCCUUUGAUUCCAGCUUCAUCCUAUAUGUGUCUGUGUCUUUAUUCUUUCUUCAUUCCCUCGACACCCUUAGCCAGAGUUUCAGGAACCAAGCCAAGCAGGACAUGGCAUCGUCCUGCCAUGGUGGUUAAAUAAGUCAGAAUCUGCCCUUGUGGUUCUGGACAGCAAAUGUGAGCUGAAGCUCCAAAACGGCCAAGGAACCACAGGGGAAACGGCAGCCAUCUGAAGGUGUCUAGUGUUGCUUCGCUGCCAUGUUAGUAUGCUAAAUACAUCAUCAGUGUAUGAUAUUUUCAACUUAGCCUGGGCUUAUUAAAAGGCAGUCCCAUAAACUGGGGAGUGUUUGUCUAUCAGAACCAUAGAUCAAGAGUGUUUAUGACUAAAAUGACAAUAUACAGGUACACAAAGAUAUGGGCAAAGGGCAUGGACAAAAGUCCAGAGGAAAAGUAUAAAUAGGAGCUAAAGACAAAGCUCAUUUGAUAGAGUGCUUGCCUCUGUGUAUAAGGCUCUAGGUUUGAUCCUCUGUGUAGAAAAAAACAAAAAACAAAAAACCAACAAUAAAUACAUAAGAUGGUCA